UUAAGCAGUACAGAGAUGCACGGUGGGUGACACCUCCUGAAGCAAUGUGGAGAAUAUAUGGCUUUGAACUAAGCAAAAUGCACCCACCGGUCUUGCAAUUGCAACUACAUCUCCCAAAUAAGCACAUGGUUUCAUAUCAUACCAUGGAAACCAUACAAAAUGUUAUCAACCGUGAAGGCACAGAAAGAUCAAUGUUGACUGCGUACUUUGAAGCAAACAUCACAUAUCCAAAAGCACGAGGCAUACUAUACAGAGAGUUUCCGGAACAUUUUACUUGGCAAAGUCAAGGAAAGUUUUGGCAACAGAGGAAGCGAGCCUCGGUGUUCCAGGUUGGCAGGAUCGUCUCAGCACACCCGGCUGAAGGAGAACGAUACUAUCUUCGAGUCCUCCUAAACCAUGUGACUGGAGCCACCAGCUUUGAAGACCUACGAACAGUCAAUGGACAAGUAAUGCCAACCUUUCAAGAAGCUGCAGAAAAAAGAGAACUCAUUGAGGCAGAUAGCACAUUGGAUGACUGCAUGACAGAAGCGGAGUUGUUUAGAAUGCCAUCAUCACUACGAAGGCUAUUCGCGACGAUCUUGGUUUUUUGCGAGCCUAGCGACGUACGCAGCCUCUGGAACAAACACCUUGAGGCAAUGUCAGAGGACUACAGCAGAAAUUGCAAAUGCAAACACACAGUCGAACAGAUGGUUCUAAAAAAUAUCAGAGACAUGUUGCACUCCAUGGGAAAAGACAUAGAAUCAUUUCCUCUUCCAAAAAUCGACAAACAGGAUGAGACGACAGACAACAUACCGAGGGAGAUCACCGAGGAGACCUCCAUUGAGGUGGACCCCGAGGACACAACAUUGCAUAAAAACCUAAACUACGAGCAGAAGAAGGCAUACGACGAAAUCCUAGCGACAAUUGAUAGCCAAAAAGGAGGUAUAUUCUUUGUGGAUGGACCUGGAGGCACAGGAAAAACUUUUCUUUAUAGGGCGCUCUUGGCAACAAUACGCGGACAAGGCAAGAUUGCUGUGGCAACCGCCACUUCUGGUGUGGCUGCUUCCAUAAUGCCCGGAGGGAGAACCGCGCACUCGAGGUUCAAGAUUCCACUUAAAAUAGAUGAUGGGGAUAUUUGUGGCUUCACAAAACAAAGUGGAACAUCCAAGCUACUCCAAGCAGCAUGACUAAUAAUCUGGGAUGAAGCAUCUAUGACCAAGAGGCAGACAGUGGAGGCGCUAGAUAAAAGCAUGCGGGACAUAAUGGACAGACCGUACCUUCCAUUCGGUGGAAAAACAAUUGUAUUUGGAGGAGAUUUUAGGAAAGUACUACCUAUUGUCCGAAAGGGAACAAGAGCCCAGAUAGUAGAUGCAUCACUACGCAGGUCGGUCCUUUGGAAUUCAAUGCGUCAAUUGAAGCUUGUGCGCAACAUGAGGGCUCAAAACGACCCAUGGUUCGCAGAAUACCUACUACGCAUUGGAAACGGAACCAAGGAGACAAAUGAUGAUGGUGAAAUACAACUACCUACAAGUAUAUGUGUGUCAAGUAAGGAUGACAAUGGCCUGGAUAAACUAAUCGACAAUGUCUACCAAACGGACAAAGAUUCACUAAAAGAUCCAAAGUACAUCACGUCAAGAGCAAUUUUAUCCACAAGGAAUGACUCCGUGGACAAAAUAAACCUAAAAAUGAUUGAUCGUUUCCAGGGGGAGGAGAUGGUGUACCACAGCUUCGAUUCAGUAGAAGACGACCCACAUAACUACUAUCCACCAGAAUUCCUGAACACUCUCACACCAAAUGGACUACCUCCCCAUAUGUUGAAGCUAAAAAUAAAUUGCCCAAUCAUACUACUCAGGAACAUCGACCCUGCUAAUGGACUAUGCAACGUCACAAGGUUGGUCGUACGUGGAUUCCAACAAAAUGCAAUUGAUGUAGAGAUUGUGGUGGGACAGUACUCUGGAACACGAGUUUUCCUACCUAGGAUACCCUUAUGCCCCUCAGAUGAUGACAUGUUUCCGUUCAGUUUCAAGAGGAAACAGUUUCCAGUCAGACUCAGUUUUGCAAUGACAAUAAAUAAAUCACAAGGCCAAACAAUACCAAAUGUUGGCAUCUACCUGCCUGAACCGGUUUUCUCACAUGGUCAGCUAUAUGUUGUGCUGUCAAGAGCAACUGCAACAUCAAACAUAAAGGUGCUAACAAGUACACAUGAUGUCAGCAAGCAGAAGAAUAAAAAGAUCACUACAGAAAACACAUACGCAAAGGGAGAGAAGAAAAAGAGGAAAAGGAAGACCAAUACAAGCGGGACAUAUACGAAAAAUAUUGUCUACACGGAAAUCCUAACAAAAUAGGUAAUACAACAUUUCGAUUUCUUCUUCUAAAAUUCAGUUCUACAUAUUCAAGUGUUGUUAGACAAACUCACAGGCUGCGGGCGAAGCGCCGUGGCCGCCGCCGCCGGCGGAUGCUGAGCAAGAGGGCAUCGCUGGAGAACAUGACCGACCGGCCGGGGAGCGGCGGCAGGGGAUGCCGGCAGGCGGAGGGCAGACAGAGAAGGCGCGAU
rnacentral:lncRNA from 1 species